rnacentral:lncRNA from 1 species
ACACCCACUUAACUUCGGAGUUAGUGGGACACCUUUCUUUUUGCUUAGUACGCUUUUCUGCUAUUCCUGCCGCAUAACUCUCUCUUCCCCAGGCUUUUCCCAUCUCCAUCCUAUUCUCUCGCAGGCAGGUUUUUCUUCCGCCUCUCUGGGGAUUUUCGCGUUGGUUCUCCCUGCCCCCAGGAGUGAGGCGGGUAACGCCCACGCCUACCUCCGGUGCUGGGGGAAAAGAUUACUUCCCAGAUGCAGUAUUUACAUCUCCUCCGCCCUACUCUUCCAACCCUGCCUGAAAUAAGUGUGGUUCUCCUGUCUGUCAGACUAUGAAGAGUUCUCAAAUAUGUCUUUCCCAGCGAGGGAGAGGAGACAACAGAAACUUCAGCCUCCACGAUCGAUGUUUCUCAAGUGUCAAGGAAAAUGGAGCCUAGGAGGGCAGCCCCACAAGCAGCGUGAUGGGCAUUUAAGCCGACGCAUGUGCCAGGUCCUAGAACAGAGUAACUUCCCCAUCUCAACACAAUAAAAUGGUGAUAUGAGA